GCUGACCAGGCAGCCUGCCUGCCUGCCUGCCCGGCCAAGUUUCCUGUUAUUCCCCGGCGGCCAGACUUGUGAUUCCGUUUGUUCGUGUCACUGAAGAAAGCAUUCGCUUUACACGCACUCGUUCCUGAAUCAGCACAGCCCCAGCCUACCGGUGCCGGCUGCUGCUUCGCUGGGAGCCAGAGGCCCACCCAGAGCUCGCAAGCUUGUCAUGGCUCUGCCUCUGCGGCCAGUCCAUGGCUUGGCGUCCCUUCUUCUUCUGCUCCUCGUCCUCCUGUCCUGCAACUGCCACUGCCACGCAGGGGGAGGAAGCGAGCGGGGAGCAGGCGCGACAAAGAGGCUGGAGCGCGACGUCACGUCGCCCCUGGCCACGGUCCCGGUGGUGAACCCGACGGCGACGAUGCCGUUGCCCACCGCGACGCCGGCGGCGCCUUCGCUGCCGCUGGCCACCGGCGCCGGCGGCGGGAGCUGGUGCGUGGCGAGCCCCAGCGCGGGCGCGGCGGUGCUGCAGGUGGCGCUGAACUACGCGUGCGGCCAGGGCGGCGCGGACUGCUCCGCCGUCCAGCGGGGCGGGAGCUGCUUCAGCCCGGACACCGUCCCCGACCACGCGUCCUACGCCUUCAACACCUACUACCAGAAGAACCCCGUGCAGACCAGCUGCGACUUCGGCGGCGCCGCAGUCCUCACCACCACCAACCCGAGUACUUCGACGUGCCAGUAUCCAGCAACGAGCACCGGAGCUUCGGUCCUGAACACGUCGACUCCGCUGACGCCAGGAUACGGAUCUGCCCCCGGCGGGUACGGGAGCUCUCCACCGGCUGGAGACGGCAGGUCCCCUCCGCUGUACGGGAACAUGUCGCCGCCGGACUACGGCGACAACACCAGCGCCGCCGUGACCGUGAGGGCACUGCCCGGCCGCAAGACGGCGGCGGCCGUCGUGGCGCUGGCCACGACGUCGACGUGGCUCCUCAUCGCACUGACGGUGAGCGGCUGAACCUGCACGCCAGGCCCGCGCGCCGCGUUGCCUCCGCGCACGUGCAGUUCGUUCAGUUGCAGACUCGCAGCUCAGGUGGCGCCCGAAGCACGAGUCUCUACACUGAGCGAAGAAGGCCAGAAAAUCAUCGGACGCAAGCAUGGAAUAUCAGAAAAUAACUGGCGAGAUCAUCAUGGCCAUGAUCGUGAUUUUCUUCUUGGUGGAUGACGUUAGUUGCGUCCACACCAAGACAAGAUGGCAUGCAGAUGCAGGAACACUACGAUGGCAAUCAGUAGUGUUCGGAUGAUGGCUGGGAUGAGGCGAUCGGUGGCCAGUAAAUCCAACUUGAGAGAUCUCCAAGGUCAGUUGCUAAUUUAUUUGUUGGAUUGGACUCCGUCGUCCAAAACAAGAUGACAAUCAGACAAAGCAAAUCAUAAAGGGUAUGCAAUCAUUAUUUCUCUCGAUCUGUGAGUCGUGAAUGAAUCGGAUUUUUCUUCAUCGACGAACUGG